rnacentral:rRNA from 1 species
UACAGAGGUCCCAAGCGUUGUUCGGAUUCACUGGGCGUAAAGGGCGCGUAGGUGGUUUUGUGGGUCUACCGUGAAAGCAUACAGCUCAACUGUAUUUUGUCGGUAGAAACUGCAGGACUUGAGGCUGGGAGGGGCUGGUGGAAUUCCCUGUGUAGCGGUGAAAUGCGUAGAGAUGGGGGAGAACACUCGUGGCGAAGGCGGCCAGCUAGACCAGUUCUGACACUGAGGCGCGACAGCGUGGGGAGCAAACAGG